GAUGAACGCUGGCGGCGUGCCUAAUACAUGCAAGUCGAGCGAAGGGACGAGAAGCUUGCUUCUCUGAUUUUAGCGGCGGACGGGUGAGUAACACGUGGAUAACCAACCUCUCACACUGGGAUAACAUCGGCAAACCGUAGCUACUACCGGAUAACAUUUUGAAUCGCAUGGAUCAAAAGUGAAAGACGGUCUUGCUGUCACUUAUAGAUGGAUCCGCGCUGCAUUAGCUAGUUGGUAAGGUGAUGGCUUACCAAGGCAGCGAUGCAUAGCCGACCUGAGAGGGUGAUCGGCCACACUGGAACGGAGACGCGGUCCAGACGCCUACGGGAGGCGGCAGUAGGGAAUCUUCCGGAAUGAGCGAAAGCCUGACGGAGCAGCGCCGCGUGAGUGAUGAUGGUCUUCGGAUCGUAAAACUCUGUUAUUAGGGAAGAACAUAUGUGUAAGUGACUGUGCACAUCUUGACGGUACCUAAUCAGAAAGCCACGGCUAACUACGUG
rnacentral:rRNA from 1 species